UUACUCAAAAGCACCUUCAAAAAAUUGUUUAAUAUAAAUGAACUAAGGCGAAACGAUAGUAUUCCGUUGUUGGUCUUUGAAUAAACAUAAUGAACAAAAUGCGGCAAGUGUUAUUAGCUGUAGUACUAGCUACUUUAUGUUCUUCCGGCUUUUGCACCAGAGGCAGUGAAAGACUAGACAAAAUACGGAUCGAACCGCAAGACUUAAAUGACAUAUUAGAUGGUCCAUAUUUUGAAGGAAAAGAUGAAAGGAUAAAUGAAAUAGAAGUCAAAAGACAAGAUUUAAAAUCAAAUGGACCAUUCUUUGAAGACAAAGAAUUUGCUAUUGACGAAAGAGCAGAAAUUAAACAUAGGUCAGGGAUAAUCAGGAUUCUUGAAAGCAUGACAACCAUGAUGCAGACAAUUUUAUCUUAUGUAGAUGGUCAUGCCAAAAUGGCAGACAUUGUAACGUCUGUUCAAGAAUUCGUAAAAGCUAUGGAGUCUUUCAUUAAUAUUAAAGCAAUAAUUAAUGAAGUACCGUUUGUAGGACCUACAGUAUCAUGGAUUAUUACCCCAAUUUUAAGUUUGAUUUCAUCUCUUGUCAAAGAAACUCCGGUAUUUGGAGAAUUAUUAUCACAAAUGCUUAUCGGUCCAGAAUCUGGAUAAAUCGAUCAUGUCUCUCUCUUGUUGUAAUCAUACACAGACAUCCUGAUUUACAUCUAAUUAUAGUUGUUAUAUCCCGUCACUUUGCCACCAACAACCGCACCUCCACCAACAAAGUCAGGAUGGAUUUUUGGUUGAGACAAAAUAAUUUAAAAACAUGUAAAAUCAAUUUUGGAUCUAGUACUUAAAUAUAAAUUUUAACCAGAAA